AUUAAUUCAAUUAUUUAUAUAUUUAAUUUUUACAUCGGUUAUUUUUUUAUGUUUAUUUUACAGUUUAUAAAAAAUUAAUUUCUUCAUAAAGAAUGGUUAUAAAAUUCGGGCAUAGUACGAACUGUACGGCUGUAACUGCAUGAAAAACAUGGAUGCUGCUGCUCCCCCUUCCCGCGAAUCAAAUUAGAGCCCGGUGGCCACAGGUGACUACCAACUAGCAAGCAACAAAGAAAGGGUCUUCAUAGUUUUGACUCAAGUCAAAACGCUGCUGGUCUGUUUGCUUCGCAAGAAAACCAAGGAAAAUCGGAGAAACUGUCUCCCAAAAUUUUUUUUUUCCUUUUCCACUGCUUUCCCAGCAGUCAAAUAGAGCAGCAGUGCUCACGUAUCCUAAGAAUCGCGUUUGAGCUAUGUCCAUAUUCUGGGUUGACUGAGAGUAAUUGAACUUGCUCUUGAAAUGAACUUCCACAACUGUUUGGCAGGUUGAGACAGCUGGCUUUUCUUGAUUGCAAGGGUAAUAGUUAUUGUCUCUUAAUUGGCCAUCUAGAUUGUGAUGUUACUGGUUUAUUCACUUGAUAUAAUCUUACAUGAAAAUAAAAUAUAUUUGAACAAAUGAAAAUUCAUAUUGUCCUGCUGGUGACUUUAGGCGACAUAACAUGGCCAAAUUAUUUUAACUUUGUGUCAGAAACCUAAAACUAUAUUGAACAUGGUUUGUGAAUUCUUCAAAUGGGCAAGGAAGGUGAGGCACUAUGGACUUCUAGUUCUGCAGUUGACUUCAGUCCAGAUCACGGGGAAAAAAAAUUUUAAAUCUUCAAACAGACAGUAUAGAGGAUGGGAAUUUAUUUCUUAAGGAUAGAGGCUGGGCCAGAUGUUAAUCCCUGCAUAGGCAAUUAAAAACAAGGUGGGGAAUUUCGAGAAUCGCACUCAGGACCUCUCACACCCAAAGCUGAGUAUCAUACCACCAGACCAAAUGCCUGUUUGUUGAUGUUGUUUCCUUAUAAUUUUUUAAUUAACAUAUUCUCUUAAAGUUGCUCAUAUUAGUUUUGAAGUUGAUUAAAUUAAACAUUUCCUGAGCAUUUCCAGCAGUCCAUAAUUUAUGGAAUGGAAUGUAAGACUUCAAAAAUACAUUUGGGUUUUUUUAGAUCUUUAAUUUUAUAAUCUAUUAAGUUACAUUUGUAACCUCAUAGAUUUAUGUUUGGAAACCUUACUAUAUACAUAUAUUUUUUCCUUUUGCCCGAUACCUAGAAUUAAAAACAUAGCUUGAUAUUAUUUAUUUAUGUAUUUCAUUACGGUAUGUUUAUGUUUGUUCUUUCCUUGGACAAUAUAUUGGACUUCUAGUUUCAAACUUCCAAUCUUACUCAUUUUCUCAUACUACCCUGUGCAUGGGAUACUAAAGGAAGACUCAGCUUGCAUGAAUGAGAAGAUUGUAUCAUUGAUCAUAAUUUUCCCUUUUUUUUUUCUUCUUUUGAUAAUGAUUCUUAUAUAAAAAAUUAAGCAUACAGCUAGUUGGUUGAAAACAACAUGAAAGGGGAAAUUGCUUAUGUAUACAUUGCAUGCUAGAAGUUGACGUGAUACUUUUGUAGCUUACAUUUAUUUUUCAGCAAAGGAUCGCUCAUGUAACCUUAAAAUUCAUCUUCUUUGUUUUGGCAUCACUUUCUGCAUAUCUCUGUUUAAAAUUUACAUUAUGGUAUGAGAUUUAUUUCUCAAAUAUUCUUCACUUAUAAGUGAAUCAACCAAAAGACAGUAUCUCCGCAUUUUGAAUUGAGAUCCCCCUAUUUGUUAGCAUAUGACUAAGGUAUGGAAGAAAUAGAUUUGUUUACUUGCCUACAGUUGGAUUUAGCAUUUUAGUUUAGGUAGAGAGGAGGAGUUAAUUUUUGUAUUAAUUUUCUUGACUAGCAGUAUGCUGCUGUAGGUUGUUCUGGUAUGAGGAUCCAUGCUGCACAGCCUAAUCAUUUAAAUAUGGACAAGAGAUUAGAUGAUAGGCAAAGUUGGUAAAAAAUGAUGUCAAAAUAUUUUAACAGAAUCUUACAUUGAGCAAGAAAGUUGAAUGGAUAUACACGUAUGUAUAUUAUAUAAUAGUUUUGUAUGCACAAGUGUUUUUUCGGUACAUGUUUCUAUUCUUUAAUUUUGGCCAACUUUGGCUGGUCAUUUUGGUCAGUGAACUUGCUCUUAAUAUUUGUAUCAUUUGGUAGAGUUCAGGUAAAUUUCCUUUCCUUCUUGAUGAAUGAACUAGAUGCAGGUAUGAUAGGCUUUCAAUCUUGAUCUGAAUACUUCACAUUCUGUUUACCCGGUCAUUAGUGAAGAAUUUUGAUAGAAAAAAGAAGUAUGCCUGGAUGGUGGAUUCUCUCGAAGUUUUUGUGUUUUCCCAUUACAAUUGAUUUUAUGCCAUUUCUGAUUUAUAGUGUAGCAUAAGAAGCUAAAAAUUAUAUGAAUGCUUAAUUUCUGAAUCAAAUGGGGCAUUCCGAGAAUUGAACUUGGGACCUCUCACACCCAAAGCAAGAAU